AGACCUGCAUUCGAUACGGGCGAGCUUGAGUAUGGUAGGGGAGUCUGGAAUUCCUGGUGUAGCGGUGGAAUGCGCAGAUAUCAGGAGGAACACCAAUGGCGAAGGCAGGACUCUGGGCCAUUACUGACACUGAGGAGCGAAAGCGUGGGGAGCGAACAGGAUUAGAUACCCUGGUAGUCCACGCCGUAAACGGUGGGCACUAGUUGUGGGGACCUUCCACGGUCUCUGCGACGCAGCUAACGCAUUAAGUGCCCCGCCUGGGGAGUACGAUCGCAAGAUUAAAACUCAAAGGAGUUGACGGGGCCCCGCACAAGCAGCGGAGCAUGCGGCUUAAUUCGACGCAACGCGAAGAACCUUACCAAGGCUUGACAUAUACAGGAAUAUGGCAGAGAUGUCAUAGCCGCAAGGUCUGUAUACAGGUGGUGCAUGGUUGUCGUCAGCUCGUGUCGUGAGAUGUUGGGUUAAGUCCCGCAACGAGCGCAACCCUCGUUCUGUGUUGCCAGCAUUUAGUUGGGGACUCACAGGAGACUGCCGGGGUUAACUCGGAGGAAGGUGGGGAUGACGUCAAAUCACCAUGCCCCUUAUGUCUUGGGCUGCACGCAUGCUACAAUGGCUGGUACAAACGGCUGCAAUACCGCAAGGUGGAGCGAAUCCGAGAAAGCCAGUCUCAGUUCGGAUUGGGGUCUGCAACUCGACCCCAUGAAGUCGGAGUUGCUAGUAAUCGUAGAUCAGCAACGCUACGGUGAAUACGUUCCCGGGGCUUGUACACACCGCCCGUCACGUCACGAAAGUCGGUAACACCCAAAGUCAGUGGCCCAACCGUAAGGA
rnacentral:rRNA from 1 species